AUGAACGCUGGCGGCGUGCUUAACACAUGCAAGUCGAACGGUGAAGCUCAGCUUGCUGGGUGGAUCAGUGGCGAACGGGUGAGUAACACGUGAGCAACCUGCCCCUGACUCUGGGAUAAGCGCUGGAAACGGUGUCUAAUACUGGAUAUGUACCACGAUCGCAUGGUCUGUGGUUGGAAAGAUUUUUCGGUUGGGGAUGGGCUCGCGGCCUAUCAGCUUGUUGGUGAGGUAAUGGCUCACCAAGGCGUCGACGGGUAGCCGGCCUGAGAGGGUGACCGGCCACACUGGGACUGAGACACGGCCCAGACUCCUACGGGAGGCAGCAGUGGGGAAUAUUGCACAAUGGGCGCAAGCCUGAUGCAGCAACGCCGCGUGGGGGAAGACGGCCUUCGGGUUGUAAACCCCUUUCAGGAGGGACGAAGGUUCACCGGUGAAUAGCCGUGUGGAUUGACGGUACCUCCAGAAGAAGCUCCGGCUAACUACGUGCCAGCAGCCGCAGUAACAC
rnacentral:rRNA from 1 species